UCCGCAGGUGGUGUUGGAGCACAGAGAAACACAGUCAUGCACCAGUGAUAGCAAAGAAGAAGACGACUGCUGUUUGUUGUCUUCAUGGUCGCCGUCCACAUCGCCUCACCACCCUGUCCUCAUUCCUUCAUCUUUAUCCCUCGCUUGUGCAUUUGUCUUGUUGCUAGUGUUUUGUUUUUGAUCUGUAUUUUUUCUGUUCGUGGAUUUUUCGGAUGUUGAACCCUGCCUCUGAUUAAAGGACACUUUAUGUUAACUCACUACAUUUUUGGGUCCACCUGCUGCUGAAACCCUGGAGCAGUAUGAAGAUAUUUUCAGUUUUUUAACAUUUAAAGAAGAAAUCCCCAGUUACUGCGGUUGUAUUGGAUUUGGCUGCAAUGCUGUUUACUCCUGAAACUCCAAAAGAGUUUAGUGGACUCAAACACUUCACCCACCCCUCCACUGGCAUAGUGAUGGGUGUCACAGUGCAACGCUGUUUCUCCCUGACCACUUGUCUUCCUGACUGGUCUGUGAAGCCUGGCAGAGGAAGACUCUUCACUUUCUGAAAAAAUGCAAGAAGCCUCUGAUGCCUGUGGUCCUCAUUAGUAGGAAUGACUAAAACCAAUGUGGAGCUCAAGGUUGGACUCCUGUGAGGCUGGUGGACUAGGUGAAGAGACUGUCCGUCAACCGAAGGUACACAAUCACUUGUGUGGGCAAAGAGAGCUCUGCUCGAGUGUCCUUGAGCAAGUCACUGAAUAAAGCUGCCAUCACUGUGGCAGAAAGGCAUAUUCGAUGCAGAAUCGCCUUAGGCUGUGGAAACAAUUUACAUUAUGCAGUUUUAGAAUGAGAUAGUAUUUCUUUCCAAUGAAAUCCAACAGGUUUGGAGGAUUUUGAACACUACCUUUGCAUUCCAAGCGCCCUUUGUUUUAUCCGCCCUGUCUCUGAAGGGGUCAAUAUGGUUAAAUUCCAAACACGCACAUCCUUAUUAUAUUGGCAUUGUAAAGGGCUACUACCGACAAGCUUUAAUGACUUUCUAAAAUCAACAUCACAACAUUGCUGGGUGUGUAAUGUGUGAAAAAAGUCGAGUGUAAACCCCUGACCCCUUCUUUCAUUCUUUACACCUAUUUCUGUCACUUUUUUGUGUUUGCACCUAACUGCCACACCAUGAAAGUCUUCAAAGAGAGACUGAGAGUGGAAAUUAGCACUUUGCUUAAUUUGCAGGAUUCAGAAUGACAAGACCACAAAGACCCAACAAAAGCCAGAGAGCUCUUUGAGGGAGAUUAGAGAGCAAACCUUUCUGCUAAAAAUCAUGUUGAUACAGGUUUUCCUUAAAACUCAGCAUAAAAGACACACAUAAGUAUUUAUCAAACUUUUUUUACAUUUAGCAAAAUAUAUUUCUUUAAAAAUCGCAUUUACUCCCACUCACAAAACAGUGAAACAAUAAAUGUAUUCAUCAAACUUCUUGCAUCUCAUAAUUACUACAUUAAUAAGAUAAGAUAUAUAAUUUAAGAGUUCAUGGUUCCUCUUGACGCAGCUAAAACUAUAUCCUAGGUGUCUGAAGCACCAAAGGCAGAAACAGAGGUUAUCUUUUCACCCCCGGCUGUUUGUUUUAUAGGUUGGUUUGUAUGUUUGUCAGCAAGAUUACACAAACACUUGGAGGAAGGGAACCACCAAAGCCCUUAAAUUAUUGUGUGGAUCCAUGUCAGUGGGUAGAUCCAGGGAUAAGGGAAUUUUUUUGUUUUGUUUUAUUUUGACAUUGUCACUGGUUUCCCAGAAAAUAUUUUAUGGAUUCUAAUAAAAUCUAAAUCAGGCAUAUUAAGGGGACUGGCUUCUAUGAAUGUGUGCACUUUGGUGCAGCUGUAUUACAUUUAAGAGGAGUGUUGGACCUUGGGAGUAUGUGCUUGAUAGAGUAAAUUCUAGUAUAAACAAACCUAAAAACCAAUUUGCCAUUUCAUUCUUUUAUACACCUUUGCAUUAUCAUCAACAACAAUGCAGCUGUUUGCUUUAUCUCUGUAAAUACAUUUCCUCAUCAUCCUCAUUGAGAUAUUGGUGAUGUUGCUGACUUAUGUGCCAGCAGCAGUUUAGUUUUAUUUCUAAAUUAGCCAUGUUCCUCUCUUUUAUUCAGGUAUGUGUUACAUUAUUAAUAAAGAUGAUUGACAAUUUUACAUUAAAUUAUAGGCUAAAAUAGGCUGUAUUCUCUACCAAUCUCAC